CCUACGGGGUGCAGCAGUGAGGAAUAUUGGUCAAUGGACGAGAGUCUGAACCAGCCAAGUAGCGUGAAGGAUGACUGCCCUAUGGGUUGUAAACUUCUUUUAUAUGGGAAUAAAAUGUUCCACGUGUGGGAUUUUGUAUGUACCAUAUGAAUAAGGAUCGGCUAACUCCGUGCCAGCAGCCGCGGUAAUACGGAGGAUCCGAGCGUUAUCCGGAUUUAUUGGGUUUAAAGGGAGCGUAGGUGGAUUGUUAAGUCAGUUGUGACAGUUUGCGGCUCAACCGUAAAAUUGCAGUUGAAACUGGCAGUCUUGAGUACAGUAGAGGUGGGCGGAAUUCGUGGUGUAGCGGUGAAAUGCUUAGAUAUAACGAAGAACUCCGAUGGCGAAGGCAGCUCACUGGACUGUAACUGACGCUGAGGCUCGAAAGUGUGGGUAGCAAACAGGAUUAGAUACCCUGGUAGUC
rnacentral:rRNA from 1 species